AUUGAACGCUGGCGGCAUGCCUUACACAUGCAAGUCGAGCGGAGAGAGGUAGCUUGCUACUGAUCUUAGCGGCGGACGGGUGAGUAAUGCUUAGGAAUCUGCCUAUUAGUGGGGGACAACAUUUCGAAAGGAAUGCUAAUACCGCAUACGUCCUACGGGAGAAAGCAGGGGAUCUUCGGACCUUGCGCUAAUAGAUGAGCCUAAGUCGGAUUAGCUAGUUGGUGGGGUAAAGGCCUACCAAGGCGACGAGCUGUAGCGGGUCUGAGAGGAUGCGCCGCAACACUGGGACUGGGACACGGCCCAGACGCCUACGGGAGGCAGCAGUGGGGAAUAUUGGACAAUGGGCGGAAGCCUGAUCCAGCCAUGCCGCGUGUGUGAAGAAGGCCUUAUGGUUGUAAAGCACUUUAAGCGAGGAGGAGGCUACUUUAGUUAAUACCUAGAGAUAGUGGACGUUACUCGCAGAAUAAGCACCGGCUAACUCUGUGCCAUCAGCCGCAGUAA
rnacentral:rRNA from 1 species